ACUCCUACGGAAGGCAGCAGUAGGGAAUCUUCCGCAAUGGACGAAAGUCUGACGGAGCAACGCCGCGUGAGUGAAGAAGGUUUUCGGAUCGUAAAACUCUGUUGUCAGAGAAGAACAAGUUGGAGAGUAACUGCUCCAGCCUUGACGGUAUCUGACCAGAAAGCCACGGCUAACUACGUGCCAGCAGCCGCGGUAAU
rnacentral:rRNA from 1 species